rnacentral:rRNA from 1 species
AACGAACGCUGGCGGCGCGUCUUAACCAUGCAAGUCGAGCGGCAGGCAGCAAUGCCGAGAGCGGCGGACUGGUGAGUAACACGUGGAUAACGUACCCCGAUGCCCGGGACAGCCUGUAGAAAUAGAGGGUAAUACCGGAUAGGUCACCGUUUUUGUAAGGAAGACGGCGGGAAAGGAGCUUCGGCUCCGCGCUGGGAUCGGUCUGCGGCCCAUCAAGCUCGUUGGUGAGGUAAGAGCUCACCAAGGCGAGGACGGGUAUCCGGCCUGAGAGGGCGGACGGACACAUUGGGACUGAGAUACGGCCCAGACUCCUACGGGAGGCAGCAGUAAGAAUAUUCCGCAAUGGGGGGAACCCUGACGGAGCGACGCCGCGCGAACGAAGAAGGCCGGAAGGUUGUAAAGUUCUUUUCUGUUCGAGGAAUAAGUGUCGGAGGAAAUGCCGAC